rnacentral:lncRNA from 1 species
CCAUGCUCAUAGACAGUUUUGUUACACAAUAUUUGUAGAAACUUCUAGUGUCCUGUUCAAGGUAAGAGACUUGAUUUUAAGAGCUUGUUUAUGUUCUCAUUAAAUAUUAACAAUAAUAUUGCUGAUUGCAGGAAAGAAGAAAGCAGUGCAGUCAAAGCCUGCCCACUGAUUGGACCACCGGCUCGUCAUACCCCAUGUCCUCUCUGUACAUCUUCCUCUGAAGAACUUCCCCUGGAUAUCUGUAUUUUGCUUCAUGUAAACAAUAAACCGCUUGAUUUGGAUCACACUAUGGACAAUUCACUGCUUUGUGGUCUUUCACUCUGUCUUGCAAGAAAUUCAUAUCAGCAAACAUGAAACUGUUUCAUUGUUAACUUAUGGAAUAAAACUAUUAAAGAAGUCUAAAGUUUUAAUGGCUUUAGGACUUGAAUAGCAUGCAUUUGUUUGAAGGACAUAAAUAGUUUUCUUAAAAAUGCUUAUUUAUGGGAUAUAUAAAAAUCUUUCUGUAUCUAAUGUGACUUUCCUUUUCUUCACAGAGCCUGCCCACUGAUUGGACCACCGGCUCGUCAUACCCCAUGUCCUCUCUGUACAUCUUCCUCUGAAGAACUUCCCCUGGAUAUCUGUAUUUUGCUUCAUGUAAACAAUAAACCGCUUGAUUUGGAUCACACUAUGGACAAUUCACUGCUUUGUGGUCUUUCACUCUGUCUUGCAAGAAAUUCAUAUCAGCAAACAUGAAACUGUUUCAUUGUUAACUUAUGGAAUAAAACUAUUAAAGAAGUCUAAAGUUUUAAUGGCUUUAGGACUUGAAUAGCAUGCAUUUGUUUGAAGGACAUAAAUAGUUUUCACAAAUAGUGUUUUUAAUGAUUUUCGUUUAAUGUGUUAUAAGAACACUGAUUUUGUUUUUGCAUUUUAGACAUGUUAUGUCAUGUUUAGUUAAUGAUAUGUAGUUCAUGUUAUUGAUCAGUAGUGGGUGUUGAAGGAUUAUCCAGCACAGCUUCAAAACAAAUGAGAAGUCCUUUAACCGUUUCUCAAAUACCUAAAAAAAACAUUUUGAAAUGAUACAAAACAUUGUAUAUUAAUUACUGGAAACUACUGAGUGAAAGUGUCGAACAUCUGCAAUAUAAGAGAGUAUAUUCCAUGUUGCCAUGUUGAACACCUGAAAGUAAAGCCAUUCCUAAAAUAACCUUAUUUACUUUCAAGCUUCCUAACAAUUAAUGUGACUCAUCAACAAACUAAUACGUCACUUACAGAUUUUAAUGACUGCACAUACAGUGGGGAAAAUAUUUAUUUGAUCCCCUGCUGAUUUUGUAAGUUUGCCCAAUUUUUUUUGGUAGGCUUAUUUUAAUGGAUCGAGACAGCAUACCAACCAAAAUAUCUAGAAAAACAUUAUAUAAAGGUUAGAAAUUGAUUUGCAUUUCAGUGAGUGAAAAGUAUUUGAUCCCCAAGCAAACCAUGACUUAGCACUUGGAGCAGAAACCCUUGUUGGCAAGCACAGAGGUAAGAUGUUUUUUGUAGUUGGUCACCAGGUUUGCACACAUCUCAAAAGGCAUUUUGGUCCAUUGCUCUUUACAGAUCCUCAAGGUUUCUUGGCUGUUGUUUGGCAAAUCUAAGUUUCAGCUCCCCCCCACCAGGUUUUCUGUAGGAUUGAGGUCUGGAGACGGGCUCGGCCACAUGACCUUAAUGUGCUUCUUCUUGAGCCACUUCUUUGUUGCCUUUGCGGUAUGUUUCUGGAAGACCCAUCCAUGACCCAUCUUCAGUGUUCUGGCUGAGGGGAUUUUACAGUACGUGGCCUGUCGAUGUGCCCCUCAAUGCGGUGAAGUCGUCCUGUACCCUUAGCAGAAAAACAGCCCCAAAGCAUAAUGUUUCCACCUCCGUGCUUGACUGUAGGGAUUGUGUUCUUGGGGUCAUAGUCAGCAUUUCUCUCCCUCCAAACACGGCGAGUCGAGUUAAUGCCAAAGAGCUCAAUUUUGCUCUCAUCUGACCACAGCACUUUCUCCCAAGCCUUCUCUAAAUCAUUUAGAUGUUCAUUGGCAAACUUUAAACGGGCCUGUACAUGUCUUCUUGAUCAGGGGGACCUUGCAGGUGCUGCAAGAUUUCAGUCCAUUGCGGCGUAGUGUGUUACCAAUGUUUUGCUUGGUGACUGUGGUCUCAACUGCCUUAAGAUCAUUAACAAGCUCCUCCCGUGUAGUUCUGGGUCAAUCCCUUAUCUUUAACUUGAUCAUCCUUACCCCAUGAGGUGAGAUCUUGCACAGAGCUCCAGACCGAGGCCAAUUGAUGGUUAUUUUGUAUUUCUUCCAUUUCGAAUAAUCGCACCAACAGUUGUCUCCUCCUCAGCUUCUUGCUGAUGGUCUUGAAGCCCAUUCUAGCCUUGUGUAGAUCUACAGUCUUGUCUCUGACAUCCUUUGGCAGCUCUUGGGUCUUGCCCGUGGUGGUGGGAGAGGUUGGAAUGGAAGAUACAGAUGGACAGGUGUCUUAUACACCUAACGAGCUGACAUUAGGAGUAACUUCUUAAAGUGACAGGACUGAUCUGUGUUCCACAUCAGCACAUAACCUAUCUGUGGGAGCCAGAUUCUUGCUGGUUUGGUAUGGGA